rnacentral:rRNA from 1 species
GAUGAACGCUAGCGGCAGGCCUAACACAUGCAAGUCGAGGGGUAGAAGGAGCUUGCUCCUUUGAGACCGGCGCACGGGUGCGUAACGCGUAUGCAAUCUACCUUGUACAGGGGAAUAGCCCAGAGAAAUUUGGAUUAAUGCCCCAUAGUAUAUAACCUUCGCAUGUUGGUUAUAUUAAAGUUCCAACGUUACAAGAUGAGCAUGCGUCCCAUUAGUUAGUUGGUAAGGUAACGGCUUACCAAGACGAUGAUGGGUAGGGGUCCUGAGAGGGAGAUCCCCCACACUGGUACUGAGACACGGACCAGACUCCUACGGGAGGCAGAAGUGAGGAAUAUUGGUCAAUGGUCGCAAGACUGAACCAGCCAUGCCGCGUGCAGGAAGACGGUCCUAUGGAUUGUAAACUGAUUUUAUACAGGAAGAAACACGCCCACGUGUGGGAGCUUGACGGUACUGUAGGAAUAAGGAUAGGCUAACUCCGUG